GAGUUUGAUCCUUCAGGGAUGAACGCUGGCGGUAUGCUUAACACAUGCAAGUCGAACGGAGUUAGCGAGACAGCGACUUAGGUCAAAGGAUUGCGAAGCUUAGUGGCGGACGGGUGAGUAACACGUGAACAACCAACCUUUUACUCAGGAAUAACAUAAGGAAACCUAUGCUAAUACCUGAUAUUAUGCUACGCAGGCAUCUAUGUAGUAUGAAAGAUUAAUCGGUAAGAGACGGGUUCGCGUCUGAUUAGCUGGUUGGUAGGGUAACGGCUUACCAAGGCCACGAUCGGUAGCCGGACUGAGAGGUCGGCCGGCCACAUUGGGACUGAGAACGGCCCAGACUCCUACGGGAGGCAGCAGUGGGGAAUAUUGGGCAAUGGACGGAAGUCUGACCCAGCAAUACCGCGUGAAGGAUGGAAGGCCCUCGGGUUGUAAACUUCUUUAGACAGGGAAGAACAAAAUGAC
rnacentral:rRNA from 2 species